AGACACACCAGCAUACAUGUGUGUUAUUCCCAUGGCUAGCCAAGAAGAGCUUGUGUGUGAAGGGAUGCGCCACCCUUUUCAAAGCAAAGAGAGAGGAAUCUUUUUCAUAUCUUUGGAGGCUUGAAUUAUGUGUGGUAUAUGCUGCUUUACUGCUUUACCAUCUCCCUCCUUUGAUUAAUCGUGCAGGAAUCAUCCAUUAGAACCCCGAAAAACAAAAGUUGACAAUGCGCGGG
rnacentral:lncRNA from 1 species